rnacentral:rRNA from 1 species
GAUGAACGCUGGCGGCGUGCCUAAUACAUGCAAGUCGAGCGAACGGACGAGAAGCUUGCUUCUCUGAUGUUAGCGGCGGACGGGUGAGUAACACGUGGAUAACGUACCUAUAAGACUGGGAUAACUUCGGGAAACCGGAGCUAAUACCGGAUAAUAUUUUGAACCGCAUGGUUCAAAAGUGAAAGACGGUCUUGCUGUCACUUAUAGAUGGAUCCGCGCUGCAUUAGCUAGUUGGUAAGGUAACGGCUUACCAAGGCAACGAUGCAUAGCCGACCUGAGAGGGUGAUCGGCCACACUGGAACUGAGGCACGGUCCAGACUCCUACGGGAGGCAGCAGUAGGGAAUCUUCCGCAAUGGGCGAAAGCCUGACGGAGCAACGCCGCGUGAGUGAUGAAGGUCUUCGGAUCGUAAAACUCUGUUAUUAGGGAAGAACAUAUGUGUAAGUAACUGUGCACAUCUUGACGGUACCUAAUCAGAAAGCCACGGCUAACUACGUG